GAAAAAAAACCUUUUUUAAGCUGUUGAAAAAUGACGUUUGGUCGCAGUUUUAACGCUAGAAAUUGUAUUUUGCUAUGAUUUUGAUUUUGAAUAAUUUAUGAAAAAAAUGCCAGCUGUUUAACUUAGUCAUUUUUUGGUAAAACAUUGCAUAUAGGGUAUCCCUAUUGUAUGGAUAACUCCUCCUACAGUUUUCAAGAUAGAAAUAUAUUCUUUUGCAGAUCAAUUGUACAUUAUAAUAAUAUCAGAGGUGUGCAAAUUGCUAGAAUUCUGAUUUCUGAUGAUUUGUGAAAGCAUUUUACCAGCUGUUGAACUUGGUUAUUUUUUGGCAAAAAUAUUUCAUAACAAGUACCCAAUUUUUCUGUAUGUAUAGGUUGUGUUCAUCAAUUCAGGGUUGACAAAGGGAUUAUUGAUACUUUUCACACUAAAGAAAACCAGGUUUGUUGUCACAUUGACAACUUUUCGCUUGUUAAUAUGUGGUAUAAAAUAGGUUUUAUGGCUUUGAUUAUGUACGAUAGUGUCACUGAGGCAGAGAGAGUUUAAUACCCAUUCUAAUUUUUGUAUUAAUUUAUAAUUUCAAAUGAAAGUCUAGCUAUUAUAUGCAUAUGCCGUAAACAACAAAUUUCAGGGGAAAAAAUACAGAUAAUUAUUAUAUGUAACAUUAGUCUUCUAAUGAUUAAUGAAAUGCUUGCAACUCAUUGUACAAGGAAAGUUAUUCUUUUUAGAUGUUAUAUUGAAGAAAAUUUGGACGGAAUAUGUACAUGAAUUGUCUAUAUUUCUCUUCCACAUGCUAUUGCACUUUUUUCGAAAAACUGUUGUAAUCAGUACUAUAUGUGUAGACAUGUCAGCAGGUUGAUAUUUCAUAAUGUUGAUAUUAAAAAAAAAUGUUGUUGAAAACAUUUAUAUAUUUAAGUAAAAUGUGUUCGAUUUUCUUUAUUCAAAAGGAGGAAAUUCGGGUUGAAGAUCCUAUUUAUUAGCACAAGGACCACUAGGUAUAGAACUUGACCUAUACAUGUAUGACUGUGCGAAACUUAACUGAAAAAAACUCCAACAAAGGUUGACAUUCAAGGGAUGUUUAAAACGUCAAUGUUUUGCAAAGGAGUGGUCAACGUUCUAGCUGUGAAAAGGAGGGAGGAAAUUCGGUAUGAAAAGACUCCUUCCUUAAAAUACACUCAUGUAUUUGGACAACACAAAUCAUUCUGACAAACAGCUACCCGAGAGGCAAAGAUAAACAGUCAAGGAAGAGUCGGAUUUACAUGUUACACAGCAUUAAAAGUUGGACAGAUCAUUUUUAAAAUCACUUUAUAGACAUCAUACGAUUUAUAUUAAACUUUAAGAAGUAGAUUUAAACAUUGUAAAAUAUUACAUUUUGCAAAGCUAAUUAAGUAUAAUUUUAGCGUUCUACCUCAACUCUAAAAUUCAACGCAAAAAUAAUGAAGGCUUAAAAUUGUUUGUUUCAAGUUUGCAAAAGCUUCAUUUGUAGUUAUCCCAAUUCAUUGUGAUAAAAUUGAAUGCAUGCAAUCAUCUUGUAACACCAUUUUCACUUUCAAUAAUAUUCUGUUAAUCAUUUACACUUAAAUAUGAUAUAUCAUAUCCAAAGGCUUUUGAUUUAAAAAUGAUAAAUAACAAUAAGAUUACAAAAUAAUAUGAUUGUGGGCUUUGAAAUAAUAAAUCACAAAUUGAUUUUUUUUUCAUGCUGUCACUUUAUCUGUUCCGUAUUACUAAAUCAAUACUCUGUUUAGGAUUAAAAUAUUUUUUUAAAAUUAACGAAAUAAAAUCGCUAAAAGUCAUAUUCAUGUCCUAAAAGGUAUUUUGUAAUUCAAAUAAUAUUACAAUUAAAAUAGAUGGAUGUGCUAAAUCAGUAUUUAGAUAAAGCAAUCAUAGAACAAAUGACUAAAAGUCACUAUAAAACUGUUUCAUGUAUGUGAAUGUAAUCUUUAAAAAUAGUAGUCACAAUUUUCAGUCGAUUACAAGGUUAAUACUUUGGCUUGUAUAAAAACGGCUAGUAAGUUAUUCAAAACUCAUCGAUUUCUUUGCAAAUGUGAAAAUAACGUUCCAUGAUAAUUUAAUAAACAUUUCUUUAAAAACACUGAAUUUUAUUAUCAGGCAUCUAGUCUACUGACAAGUUGGAUUUCAAUAUCAAACAUACGUAUAUUUACACCCUUCCAAUUCGUUCCCCUAUUCAAAACUAACAAAACACCUAAGCUAAAUUUCCAUCUCAAAAUUUUGCUGAAAAAAUUACCAAUAAGUAAAUUACUGUGUUGCAAGUUGUCUGAGAUUGAUAACACAAUUUAUUUCUCCAAGGUACACGACGUUUGUCAGUCUAAUUAUUCGAGCAAAAUAAAUCAAGCCUAAUUUAUCGAGGAAUAUAUGUGUAUAUCCUAGCUGAAUCAUAUGAUUAAAUAACAAAUAUGAAGAUUUCUAAUUGUUUUUUUUUCUAAUUAAUGAUUAUUACAUUUAUAAAUGUUAUAUAGUUUCA